GACUUUUCUUUAAGGGGCCGUUCAAAUGUGACGUCACGCUUUUUAGGCUCAUUUUUUGACCCCUCCCCCCUAUAGUCACAAAUGGUCACUAUUUUGACUCACCCCUCCCCUCCCCGUGACGUCACAUUGUCCAAAUCAUUAUUCUUGGCAACGGGAAGAGAUACGCGACUACAUCAUCUUAAUUAGGUGCCUUAAUUGGAAAUUUCUAACAAUUUGAUUGCAUUUUGGAAAAUCUGGUCGUAUCUGGUCUAACGCUAACUUGUUCGGAAAAAUCUGAGGAAAGUGCAGUUAAAAUACCCAAGCCAGUGAUAAUUUAAGCUGAAGUAGGCGGGGAUUGCUGAUUUCAAUUUAUUUUUUAGUGGCUCACUCCAUUCAUAUUUGGCAAUUUUACACUUCUUAAAAGUGUGAUGUCACAAUGCCUUCAUCCCCCUCUCCCCCAUGUCACAUUUGGUCACGAUUUCUCUAGACCCCUCCCCCCCUUAAAAGUGUGACGUCAUUUUUGAACG